CAGUCGCCGCGGGAAUACGAAGGGGGCUAGCGUUGCUCGGAAUUACUGGGCGUAAAGGGAGCGUAGGCGGACAUUUAAGUCAGGGGUGAAAUCCCAGAGCUCAACUCUGGAACUGCCUUUGAUACUGGGUGUCUUGAGUGUGAUAGAGGUAUGUGGAACUCCGAGUGUAGAGGUGAAAUUCGUAGAUAUUCGGAAGAACACCAGUGGCGAAGGCGACAUACUGGAUCAUUACUGACGCUGAGGCUCGAAAGCGUGGGGAGCAAACAGGAUUAGAUACCCCAGUAGUCCCUGUCUCUUAUAC
rnacentral:rRNA from 1 species